UCCCUGCAUUUAUCUAUUUUAUAAGUAGUUAAUUCGCUGAUAGCCUUCUGUGCUUUUUAUAUCUAUUAGAGUUGGGGUGUGAUGGUUUAAAUAUGGCACAGUUGGAAGCAUGGUUGAACUUGUAAUGGUCGUAGGCUGUGGUCUGUUGCUACCUUCACUAUAUAUGUCUGUAAUGGCUCGUUUUCUUAAUGAGAUGAAGAACUGAAUCCUCUUGUUAUGUUUAUCAUGCUCUGCUGCUGAAUGAAGCCUGAGACGUUUUGCAGAGCUUGUUGUGCCUGCAUGAUCCUGGCUACAAAGAGAACCACUGCUUGUAUUUUUUUAGUGCUCCAGAGACCUUGCUUCUUUUCGAAUGUUAAGUUUAAAACUCGAAGUCAGUUGCCUGAUAGAUGAUGUUUUCUUUGCAAUUUGUGGCCCCACAUGUGUUUGUUUUAAUGUCCUGUUGUUUGUUCGUUCAUGCAUGGCGGCUCUGCGCAUUAGUUGUUUGUGCUAAUGCCAAGAGGUUGGGAUUAUGUUUGUUUUUUUGUGUUGUCUAAUUAACGCUCUUGUGUUUCUACUCUUUGGCUGCUGAGAUGUUCAUUUGGAUCAAGUAUUGCCGCUGAAGGUUUUUGUUCUCUGCCUUGCUCACAAACUUUUGUUUGGUCAAUUUGCACAAAUGUGGAUCAAAUUUGUAAGGGAGCUGAAACAAUGAAGUUACAGUCCUUGCUCUGUGUUGUACUGAACGCUGAGUUUUUUUUCUUUUACAUAUUGAUGUUUAAAUACAGUAGAAAAUGUGAUUGGCAAGAUAGUUAUACUUCAACAAUACUUCACCUGUUACCCAAUACUCCCUCCGUUCCUAAAUAUUUGUCUUUUUAGAGUUUCAAAUGGAUAUUUGUCUUUUUAGAGUUUCAAAUGGACUAUCACAUACUGAUGUACAUAGACAUAUUUUAAAGUGUAGAUUCAUUCAUUUUGCUCCGUAUGUAGUCACUUGUUGAAACCUCUAGAAAGACGAAUAUUUAGGGACGGAGGGAGUAAAAGAUAAUUUAGUCAGCAGUACUAUGUAGACUGGUUUAUUUUUUGUGCGUGACCCCUUCCUCAUCUCUAAAACAUGCAAUGUUCUCAGAUUUAUUUGCCUUUUUGCAUUGAGUUCAAAACUUGAACAUUUAGGAGGCAUUGACCAAUGUAGCAUGAGUACCGAAUACCUCUUCCUCGAGGUAUCUAACUUAUAAAGGAUGAAAGGGUUCGUAGUCACAACGAAGCCAGCCACGUCGCCUUUAAAUCGCUGCUGCCACCGCCUGUAAUUUUCGUUCCCCGCUGAGGGCAUUUUCGUCAUUUCGCAUCCGGGCGUAUAAAAGGGAGCAGCUCCUGUGGAGAAGACCUAGCUGCUCCUCCUCCCGCACUCGUGCGCCCCCUUUAUUCUUCCUCCCGCCUCACCUCUCUCCCCCCUCGACCCGCGACCCUCGUCCUGUCGCCGCCGGGACCCUCGUCCCUCUUGUCGCCGUCGCCUCCGCUGCCAAGUAGUGAGCGAGAGCAGCGAGAGGAACAACGAGCGAGCAGCCAAACCUUCAUGGCCUCCGCCCUCUCUCUUCCCCACCCCUCUCCCCUCACCACACAAGAGAAGAGAGGCAGGGAGUUGGACCGAUCAGGCGGCGGCCGGCCAUGGGACGGGAGGGCAGCGUUGGGCGAGCGAAAAGGAAAAGAAGCGAGCGACCGGAAGAAAAAAGACCUAGCCCGCGUCACCCCCCGUAACCCCCGCAGCCGCCUCCUCUCCUGUCGCCGCCGCCGCCUCGGCCUCGUCUCCACUGCGCCGCCUCCUCCUCUCCACUUCUCUCUACCACCGCAUGGCCGCCGCCGCCGCUCGCCUCUUUCUUCCCGUAGCUCCUGCAGGACGACGCCUCCCCAUCCUCCAUCAGCCGGGUCGGGCGAAGGUCGCCGGCAUCUUCGCGCUGCCACCUCUGCCCGUCCUCCUCUCUCGCCCAGCCACCACCGUUGCAAGGAGCAGGGAAGAUAGGAGACGACGACAAGAAGCAAUGGGUUGGUUGCGGUGGGCUUGAGCUGAGCAGGGGCCGGGUUAAGGUAGGUGUUGACGGCCUGGAUCCGUCGACGGGGGUCUGCCGGGCAUGGCGGCUGCUGGAAGGGCAGCAGCGGCCUGUGGGGAGUCGGCGGCACGGCAGCGACAUCUAUGGAGAAGAAUGGCCCAGCAGGCUCGUGUAGACAGGAGAUUCUCGGGGUGUUUGUCAAUUGGGCAGAUGGCGGCCAUCGGAGUUUCUUCAAUCGAUCUGGACAGGGCCACCACAGCGUACGCGAGGGCUGGAGGUGAGUGACCCUCUGGAGCCGCUUCCUCUCCCAGUUUUUUACUCCUUGAUUUUUAGAUCCUCUCCCAGUUUUUCACUACUUGAUUUUUAGAUUAUUUGAUAAUCUUAUUUGAUUUCUCAAUUUCUGGUUACCUAUGACGAGUAGAAGAAGAAUUUUGACAAAGGGUUUGAUGAAUAAGAACAGGUGAAUUCAAUUUGCCUUGAAUAUAGUCGCGUGUGUUCCCGCAUUUUGAUGUUUGAUUUUUUUUUCUGUGUAAGAGAGCAAAUGACAUGAUUUUGUACUCCUAUUACCUACUGACAGAAGAUACAUUUGUAAAUGAAGGUCUCAAUAAUGUUUGUUUUUACCUUGUGGUCUGAUAGACCAGUACAUACUGUUGGUCAUGUUAACAAAAGAUUUUGUCAUCCCUCUGUAUGAGCUGUAAUAAUAUUUACAUAUAUCUUUGACUGUGCAGAUUCAGAUUUUUCUCCUUCCUCGCCUCAUUGACAUGCUCUGCAUCUUCAGCUUGCAGGUUGUGGUCUUUCACUUCUCCUCUUGUUGGUUUGCUCUCUGGUUAAGCCAUGGAAGACACGCUUCGAUUACUUGGCUCCUCAAGGUAUGGUGCAUAUUGCCUCUGAUUUGCUUAUUUGAGUGUACUUUUAUACAGAAAAUUUCAUUUGCUUAUUUUCAAUUCUUUAGGGAUAUGAGAAGAGAGCUCUAUUGUUGGCAGUGGCUGCAUAAUUUCGACAAGUGAAUGGUUGAUCUUUGCUAUGUGGAUUGUGGACCGAUGGCAUAAUCUGUAUCUAAGGUUGGAGAUUCUGAAUUAGGUACGAGAAAGAUGACAGUCACUUUGUUUUCACUAUAUUAGUUUACUGAAUAUUUUUAAGGUUGGAACUGCAUGAUCAAAGUGACAAUAUAACUAAAUGUUCGAAGAAACUUAAGGCUAGACACCACAUUAAUUUCCUUUUUAAUUUGAAUUUAUAAGCAGACACCUGAAUUUAGCUUGAUACAGAUCCUAUGAUCCCUUGGAAGCCUAUAUUGUAAAAUUUGAGCAGUUCCCAUGACAGAAUUUAUAUUAGAACUUACUUUCUCUUUCCAAAUGCCCAUAUAUUUUGUUGCUCUAUAAUUCAACUUAUACGCAUUUAGCAGCGUAUCUUUAUCAUGUUAUCCAGUUCUUACCAUACCAUGUGGUAGCUAAAUGUGCUGAUCUACCCCUGCAGAAUUAGUACCGUUUUUCAGCUAUGUGUAAUUAAUCAGCUACUUCCAUUUUUUGAUGAUUAAUUUUUAAAUAAAGGUUCAGAGAAUGGCUUCUAUUGCCUUCCAGACCACCUGGUAAAGGAUGAAUAGGUGUUGGUUGCCAUCCAGAUCUCCGUCUUGGAUGCUGGGAGCAAUUCUCAAAUUGUUUGUGCAUGAAUUGACCGAUUCUCCUUUCUCUUGCAGAGUGUCUUGUUUAUCUGAGGUGGAUUCUUAUCUUCUUAUCCACAUGCUUGCUAAAUGUACAUUUUUCUUUCAUUUUAGCUAGAAAGCAAGCAGCCUUACACGAUUUAGAUAUCUUUUACAUGAACUUCUUAUGCAACCAGUAUGUUAUGAAUAUGCAAUGGCACACAUUGUUUCUUUAGUGAGAAAUUCCUGAACAUACUCUCUAUUGUGUUAUGGGAGUCUGAUGUACCAGCCCAUGUGGCUGAUUGUGUUAUGGGUGAUUUGCCCAAGCACCGUUAAGUUACAAAGUUUUGCUUUACUUCCAAAAAAAGGUCUGUUGAAACGUGCCUAUUGACCACCAAAAACCACUUUAUUUUUUGUGUAUGUUCGCCAUUUUAGUCCAAUUGUUGAUAUGCUGCCAACAACUUUUCCAUCCCCUCUUUCUUACUAUUUAGUUAUUUCCUCAGGCAAGUUGAUGGUUAUUUCUACUAUUGCUAAUUUAGUUUUGGUUCUAUCUGUGUGCAUGGCAUGCAGGCCUUCCCAGGAGAUGCAGUUCUGAAAUUUGUCACAGUUCUAUGGAUCUAUUAUUGUGAGAACCGAUGAUAUAUGGUGAGUUGUCUGACACCAUCAUUUCUCCUUUCUAGCGCUUGAGUUGACAAAUUUCAUGUAAUCAAAUGGAGUCCCUGCAUCUUAAGAUGUCAUCCAUUUAUCACAUGUAAUGUGUUGUUUCCCUUUUAUGCGCCAGAGUUCUUUCCUAUAUUCUGAGCAUCAAAGCCCUUUUAGAUUGUAUACUGGACAUGAUUUUAUCUACUUUAAUAUAUGCUUUAUGCGCGUCUGAAAGUGUCCACUAUGUUUAUUUGCUCCAUGAAUUUAACUGUUGUAUUUGCUAAGAAUAGUGUAAUUUUCUGGGUCACAAUUACCUUUAAACAUCAACUACGUUCUUAUUCCUAUCAACGAUCUAAGUAAAACAUGAAAAACCUGGGUUUUCCUUUGUCUCUGGCCAGUGUUAUAUACUUAUUCGAUACCUACUAUCCUCUAUAUAUACUUGUGUUUUCCCCCUCCAAUAUAGGUGCCUGGACUAUGACCUCUGCCUUUUGACGGUUGCUUUUCCUUUGCUACUAGGUAUUGUUCUUGUAUUCAAGAGUUUUGUUUCUACAAUUGCCUUUGACGUACCUACACAUCAAUCAUUUGCCAAAUUAAAACAAAUGACCUUCUCAAAACAUAUGCAUGCUUUCGACACCCUGAAGAGAUGUGUUUACUUUACCCGCAAACUUCUAUACACGGACUGUUUAAUGAAUUUUAAUGUGUGGUUGUGUGAUGUAUACUUCAGUAAAUAUUGCUUCUCCAAUUUACAAUAUUAUUAUGGGGAAAAUUUGACACAUAAAAAUGCACACAAGUUAUGAAUAUUUUUAGCUCAAUUGAUAAUUGUUCGUCAAAAGAGAUCACACAAUACCCCUUGCUCUGAAUUAUUUAGAUUGAAGCCAUACUCUGUGUAGACAUGCAGUUAUUUUUAAAGUAAAAGAAAAUAAUUAUUUACUGGUAGUAGGAUCACAGCGGCAAAUUACUGUGUCUCAGGUUUGAAAGCAGGUAGAAUAACGAGAAAGUUUGGAUACGUCAAUUUCUUUUUUCUUAUAUUUAAUUUCCUAAUGUAUGAUGGUGGAGUUGCAUCUCUUUACUGUCAUCGAGGAAAAGGAUGACCAAGCUCAGCAGUCCAAUCUUUGUCUUUGGCACUAGGAAAGUUGCCUAAAAGAUAUAUAAUGCCGGUCCAUGUAUUUAGUUGUUUGUGCCGCAGCCUGUGUGCUUCCAUUUGCUUUCUAACAUUAAUGGGGUACAUGUACAUGUACUAAGAACCGUUUGACUAUAUGUGACCAUCAAGAGAACUAAUAUUUCCUGUCAUCUAUUCAUUUCGGCCUUAUCAUCUCACUUUCGUUUGUUACAUCUUGUUCAAUAUCAUUGUUGUAUCAAUGCUACCCAUCUACCCUAUAUGCAUGUCGUAAUUCGUAAACCUUGACAAAAGCAAAGAACAUGCUUAAUCAAAAAAUUCAAUGAACAUAGGGUCCACUUGGCACUGAAUCUUAUAUUUACUAAUUGGAGGCACCUUUCAAGUCUUCUAAUUAAUCCACAUCAUCACAAUUAAUUAGACAGUUGGAUUAUAAAAUUAACGACCAAGAUAAGAAGAAAACUUGCGUAACACAGAUGGUUCCGGCUGUCCAAAAUAAUGGCAUAUGACACGGCCAAUGUGUUGAAACAAGAAAAAAAACAUCCAUCUGUUCCUUUAAAAAAAUGAUAGACUCCUUCCAUAACAACUCUCGAGGAUCUGUGAAACACAGUUUUACAUGCAGGAUCCAUGAAACUCUUCUGCCAAUUAAAGAAAGGAAAAACAGCGCUCCUUAAAGAAAACAUCCCAUCGCUCCUGUGCAUCUUUUCAGGCAACUUCCGCUUCUUUGGUCCAUUAAAACAACAUCUGACACGCGAAAAUUCUCUUCUGAGCCCGGUCUCAGCUGAUCUUGAAAUCAGAGUCGUCCAGAUACAUUAAGAUCCGAGCCAGGAGCUUUAUUCUCUUCUGUAUUUCCGUUGUACAGAGGGAGAAAAGAAAGCGGGCCUGCGUCAUUAAUUGCUGUGCGCGGCACGGCCGUUUGCCGGAUCAGGCUCGGUCGCACGGCCCGGUAAUAUUUCUGAGCCGUCUUGACGGCCCGACGACUUUUCAGCCAAGUCUCGUCUGCUGUGUGCUUAGGUGCUUUUUUUUAUGCAUGCAGAUAAAUCCGCCGUCUGCUGCUCGCAACCAUGCAGGCACAGGCACCCCUUUCUAAACAAUCUGUGUGAUGUUUACCCUGUAAGAAUUCCUAUAAAGAUGCCAAACCCGCGACACACAUUUCGCUAAUCAAAAUCACAAAGGCGUGUUACUGUUACCCACAUGCUGACCGAUGUGCUUCAUGUCGCGCAUAACAUGACGACAUCAAGUCAGUACUAAUCACCACAGCACACUAAGUACGAAACAGACGCACACACAGCAACUGCUGCUGUAGUGGCAACGACAGUGUUACCAUCUGCAAGGCACAAAGAAACUUACUGAGCCCGUCUAUGUUUGAUUGUUUCGGUGCAAACGUCCUCCUCAUCGGGUCCAUCAUGCAUCCGUGUCGUCGCCACCAAGGUUGCACACUGCGCUGGACUCGCUCCUAUCCGCCGAAAAUGCAGCAACCUCUGCGAACAAGGCAGUGUCAUUUGGAUCGUGCUUGCUGAACCUUCUUCCAGGGGAGGAGGGACCAUGAUCCAACUCCUCCAAGCAAGCGCGCAUUUUGAUCGUGCUUGCUGAACCCUUCUUGCCAACGCAUUCCUUACUCCAGCAGGAUUUGCCUCCAUCCAGAAGUCACCGGAACCAGCUGCCGGCGCCGCUGUGCACUACAAAACUCCGGCGAGAACACGGCACCUGUGAGGAAUGAGACCGAUUUGGUCGACAACCCUUGGGUCCCAGGCAUUAUGAUCUCCUAGCGGGCCCAGACUUCAACACGUGCCACCUGGACCGCAGACCUGUUCCGCGGCCCACAAUAGUUUUCACGUCCCGGGCCGUGGCGCAGAGCCUCGCUGUAACGGAAACACUCCCCGCCCUACAAAACUGGCCCACACCAAACGACGGUACACACUCGUAUCGCGGCCGUAUACAUUUUUAACGCGGGUUGCGUUCUGACGCAGCAGAGCGGUUUUUUCGCAUCCCAAGGUGCCUACGAUCGGCACAAAUUUCGGGCUCAUCUGAGCCCGAGCACCAAAACGCCUUGUCCACAUCUGACACGUCCAAUUUAAACAAUAAAAAAGGUAUCCAUCGUUUCUUUUAAAAAAGAGACAGCUGCCACUCAAACAAAAAAAAGGCAUCCUUACAUAACAGCUCAUCUAUGAAACUCUUCUUGCCAGCUAAAACAAGGAAAGGCAUCUGUGCCUAAAAAAAAGGGAAAACAUCUCCAUGGGCACCUGUACAUGGAUGGACCUUUCAAGCCUUCUCACUAAUCCACAUCAUCAAAACUAACUACACAAGUGAAUUGUAAUUGUAAGUCCAGGAUUUAGAAUACAUCGACACAACUUUAUUACGCAAGUUUUGGAGUCCUGGGCAGCCACAACUUACAAGUUGUAAAUUCUAGAGAAUUAGCUACAAUAAUAAUUCUUCGCAAAAAAAAGCUACAAUAAUAAUUGAAUCGUACGUCCAGAAUAAGAAUACAUAACCAUUAGAUUGUGAAUUUAAUGGUCAAGAUCUAUUAAAAGGCCUGCAUCUUUAAAGAAAACACCAUGAACAUAUCUGGGAUUAAACCCACACGUUCGUACAAAGAAAAAGAUGAGAGUCCUUCCCUUAAAAAAAGAUGAGAGUCCCCCACAUAAAGAAAAAGAUGAGAGCCAUGCCGUAUUACGACAGAAAAAAAAAACAUCAAUGCCCACGUCAAAGUUAAAAAAAAGUCCUGCCUUAUUACAACUCAAGAAAAAGGAGAGUCGUCCUUUAUUAAAACCCACAUGUACGUAAUGGAAAAAAUCCCCUAAAAAAGUGUUCUAACCACGUACCUAAAAUAAAAUUGAACAACUAAAA
rnacentral:lncRNA from 1 species